UCAGAAGUGCGAAUGCUGACAUAAGUAACGAUAAAGCGGGUGAAAAGCCCGCUCGCCGGAAGACCAAGGGUUCCUGUCCAACGUUAAUCGGGGCAGGGUGAGUCGACCCCUAAGGCGAGGCCGAAAGGCGUAGUCGAUGGGAAACAGGUUAAUAUUCCUGUACUUGGUGUUACUGCGAAGGGGGGACGGAGAAGGCUAUGUUAGCCGGGCGACGGUUGUCCCGGUUUAAGCAUGUAGGCUGAUUGUCCAGGCAAAUCCGGAUAAUCAAGGCUGAGGUGUGAUGACGAGGCACUACGGUGCUGAAGUAACAAAUGCCCUGCUUCCAGGAAAAGCCUCUAAGCAUCAGGUAACAUCAAAUCGUACCCCAAACCGACACAGGUGGUCAGGUAGAGAAUACCAAGGCGCUUGAGAGAACUCGGGUGAAGGAACUAGGCAAAAUGGUGCCGUAACUUCGGGAGAAGGCACGCUGGUGUGUAGGUGAAGUCCCUGCGGAUGGAGCUGAGACCAGUCGAAGAUACCAGCUGGCUGCAACUGUUUAUUAAAAACACAGCACUGUGCAAACACGAAAGUGGACGUAUACGGUGUGACGCCUGCCCGGUGCCGGAAGGUUAAUUGAUGGGGUUAUCCGUAAGGAGAAGCUCUUGAUCGAAGCCCCGGUAAACGGCGGCCGUAACUAUAACGGUCCUAAGGUAGCGAAAUUCCUUGUCGGGUAAGUUCCGACCUGCACGAAUGGCGUAAUGAUGGCCAGGCUGUCUCCACCCGAGACUCAGUGAAAUUGAACUCGCUGUGAAGAUGCAGUGUACCCGCGGCAAGACGGAAAGACCCCGUGAACCUUUACUAUAGCUUGACACUGAACAUUGAGCCUUGAUGUGUAGGAUAGGUGGGAGGCUUUGAAGCGUGGACGCCAGUCUGCGUGGAGCCAACCUUGAAAUACCACCCUUUAAUGUUUGAUGUUCUAACGUUGGCCCCUGACCGGGGUUGCGGACAGUGUCUGGUGGGUAGUUUGACUGGGGCGGUCUCCUCCCAAAGCGUAACGGAGGAGCACGAAGGUUAGCUAAUCCUGGUCGGACAUCAGGAGGUUAGUGCAAUGGCAUAAGCUAGCUUGACUGCGAGCGUGACGGCGCGAGCAGGUGCGAAAGCAGGUCAUAGUGAUCCGGUGGUUCUGAAUGGAAGGGCCAUCGCUCAACGGAUAAAAGGUACUCCGGGGAUAACAGGCUGAUACCGCCCAAGAGUUCAUAUCGACGGCGGUGUUUGGCACCUCGAUGUCGGCUCAUCACAUCCUGGGGCUGAAGUAGGUCCCAAGGGUAUGGCUGUUCGCCAUUUAAAGUGGUACGCGAGCUGGGUUUAGAACGUCGUGAGACAGUUCGGUCCCUAUCUGCCGUGGGCGCUGGAGAAUUGAGGGGGGCUGCUCCUAGUACGAGAGGACCGGAGUGGACGCAUCACUGGUGUUCGGGUUGUCAUGCCAAUGGCACUGCCCGGUAGCUAAAUGCGGAAGAGAUAAGUGCUGAAAGCAUCUAAGCACGAAACUUGCCCCGAGAUGAGUUCUCCCUGAGACUUUAAGUCUCCUGAAGGAACGUUAAAGACGAUGACGUUGAUAGGCCGGGUGUGUAAGCGCAGCGAUGCGUUGAGCUAACCGGUACUAAUGAACCGUGAGGCUUAACCUU
rnacentral:rRNA from 1 species